UUAGAGAGAGAAAUAAAAUGAGAACAAAGAAAAUUAAGAGGAAAAAAAUCAGAUCUAGAUACUAAUAUAACAAAUCGAUCGAUAAUGCCUAAAGAAAUGGAACUAGGUAGGUUUAAGAUCAAACCUAAUCAAUUGAUUUUCGAUCAAACCUAAUCAAUUAUCAUCCCAGAUCAAAAAAAUGGGAGGAAACAAUCAAUCGGUGAAGAAGAAAAGCUAGAAGAAUCGACCUUAGCAGAGAAAUUCAGAGAAAAAGAAAACGAUUCGCAACACCAAAUUGAGAAAGAAAAAAUGUAAAAGAAAAAAACUAUGACAAAGUUUCCUUUGUAUUCUAUGCACAUCUUGAUGCUGUUUAGAUGCUACAGUUUCUCAACAUUGAAGAGAUGUCUGAAACCUCAUCAAGCCAUGGUGGGGUAACAUCUGUGAUUGGUUUUAUUGAGAAAUUAUUGAGAAGCUCCAUGUUGUUUUAUUGAGAAGUGAGUUGCGGAUACUCAUGUAAAUGGUUAAUGUAACAAUUAGCUUAAUGUUACCAUCUACUUUGGCUGUACGUUAAUGAAAUGUCCUAAUUCAUACUUUUAGUUUUGAUA